GAUGAACGCUGGCGGCGUGCCUAAUACAUGCAAGUCGAGCGAACAGACGAGGAGCUUGCUCCUCUGACGUUAGCGGCGGACGGGUGAGUAACACGUGGAUAACCUACCUAUAAGACUGGGAUAACUUCGGGAAACCGGAGCUAAUACCGGAUAAUAUAUUGAACCGCAUGGUUCAAUAGUGAAAGACGGUUUUGCUGUCACUUAUAGAUGGAUCCGCGCCGCAUUAGCUAGUUGGUAAGGUAACGGCUUACCAAGGCGACGAUGCGUAGCCGACCUGAGAGGGUGAGCGGCCACACUGGAACUGAGACACGGUCCAGACUCCUACGGGAGGCAGCAGUGGGGAAUUUUCCGCAAGGGGCGAAAGCCUGACGGAGCAACGCCGCGUGGGUGAAGAAGGUCUUCGGAUUGUAAAACUCUUUUAUUGGGAAAGAAAAAAUGUGUAAGAAACUACCCCCGUCUUGACGGUACCUAAACAAAAAGCCCCGGCUAACUACGUG
rnacentral:rRNA from 1 species